rnacentral:lncRNA from 1 species
UUUAAUCAAUAAAAAGAUUCUGCAUCUAAACCAUGCAAACACUUCCCUGUAAGACUUCUCUUUACAAAAAUAACAAGAAUUGUAAAUACAGGAUCAAUGAUAACUUCUUUUCAUUGUCCAUGAUGUGUUCAUCGCGAUGCCGAAAUAAAUCUUAUUUUAAAAUAAGGUAAUAAUACGAAUGAAUGCCGAAAUCCAUAGACACAAAGAUCCAAAAUCGAGUCUUUUAGCAUAUCUCUAUGUUGGAAAAGCCACAAUCGCCACUUACAUUGAACAUACAUGCCACUGUGUGUGUGUGUGUCU